rnacentral:rRNA from 1 species
AUACGUAGGUGGCAAGCGUUAUCCGGAAUUAUUGGGCGUAAAGGGUGCGUAGGCGGUUGAUUAAGUUUUAGGUGAAAGCGUGGGGCUCAACUCCAUACAGCCUAAGAAACUGGUCAACUAGAGUGCAGAAGAGGAGAGUGGAAUUCCUAGUGUAGCGGUGAAAUGCGUAGAUAUUAGGAGGAACACCAGUGGCGAAGGCGACUUACUGGACUGUAACUGACGCUGAGUCACGAAAGCGUGGGUAGC